AACAUUGUUUCUUGAUCCAUAAUAUAAGAAAUAAGUACUGCCCAGUGAUAUUAUUUCAACGGCCGCGGUAUACUGACCGUGCGAAGGUAGCAUAAUAAUUUGUCUCCUAAUUAGGGAAUAGAAUGAAUGGACAAACUCGAAACAUACUGUCUCUAUAACACACUAAUAACUUUAUCUUCAGGUGAAAAAGCCUGAAUAUAAUAAAAAGACAAGAAGACCCUAAAAGCUUUAUAUCUUACAGCUAACUCCAAGCACCAUGAUCUUUUGUUGGGACGACAACAAGAAUAAAAAACACUUGUAAAAAUAAAGACCAAGUCUCCAUUAUUAACCAAAAAAAGAAAAUAUGUAAGCUACUCUAGGGGUAACAGGCUAAUGUUCUUAAAGAGUACACAUUGACAAGAACGUUUGGCACCUCGAUGUUGGCUUAGGGACUCUCUUUCAUGCAAAAGUAAAAAAAGAAGGUUUGUUCAACCUAUAAUCCCCUACAUGAUCUGAG
rnacentral:rRNA from 1 species